rnacentral:rRNA from 1 species
GAUGAACGCUAGCGGCAGGCCUAAUACAUGCAAGCCAAGGGCUGUUUGGUGUAGCAAUACAUCAAACAACCGGCGGACGGGUGCGUAACGCGUAUGCAACCUACCCUAUACAGGAGGAUAGCCCUCGGAAACGAGGAUUAAUACUCCAUAAGAUUGCUUAGAGGCAUCUUUAAGCAAUUAAAGCCGCAAGGCGGUAUAGGAUGGGCGUGCGUCCGAUUAGCUAGUUGGUGAGGUAACGGCUCGCCAAGGCGAUGAUCGGUAGGGGUUCUGAGAGGAAGAUCCCCCCAACGGGAACGGGGACACGGGCCCGAUCCCACCGGGAGGAAGCAGAAAGGAAUAUUGGAAAAGGGGGGAAGCCCGAACCCAGCCAUGCGGCGUGAAGAAGGAAGGCCCAUGGGGUGGUAACCUGUUUUUGGGGGGGGGAAUAAGGGCGAUGCGUCGCUCGAUGAUAGUACUUCUCGAAUAAGCAUCGGCUAACUUCGUG